AACUUUAUGGACAACAUAUAAACUUGGGAGGACUUAUAAUACCAUAAAGCAUUACAUGCUGGGAUUUUAAGUCAGUUUAAAGCUACAUUCAAGCAAAUUCUAGGAAGACAGAGGCUGAAAAGUACUAAUAGAGAUGCCAGGGCUGUUGGCAAGGAGGGUAACCACAUUUCAUCCUGGGGCCUCAGGUUAGAGAACUGUGUAUUCUUUUUCAAUUAAACCGACAUUCCUAGCAAUAUGGUAUGUUGCAAAUGCCCUUCCAAAAGAAUCAUGCCAACCAAGAUGAGGGAGAGUUAAGGGUUGUAU
rnacentral:lncRNA from 10 species